UGUUGUAUAGUGUAAUGGUAGCACAAAAGAUUUUGGUUCUUUUAGUCUUGGUUCGAAUCCAAGUACAACAACCA
rnacentral:tRNA from 1 species